rnacentral:tRNA from 1 species
GGCGCGGUGCGAUGAUGGUCUUGCAGCGAGGCUUUCAAUCUCGCCCACACGGGUUCGAUUCCCGUCCGCGUCA